ACGGGAGGCAGCAGUGGGGAAUAUUGGACAAUGGGGGCAACCCUGAUCCAGCAAUGCCGCGUGCGUGAAGAAGGCCUUAGGGUUGUAAAGCGCUUUCGCCCGCGACGAUGAUGACGGUAGCGGGAGAAGAAGCCCCGGCUAACUCCGUGCCAGCAGCCGCGGUAAUACGGAGGGGGCGAGCGUUGUUCGGAAUUACUGGGCGUAAAGGGCGCGUAGGCGGCCUUGUCAGUCAGGCGUGAAAGCCCCGGGCUCAACCUGGGAUGUGCGCUUGAUACUGCAAGGCUUGAGACCGGAAGAAGAUGGCGGAAUACCCAGUGUAGAGGUGAAAUUCGUAGAUAUUGGGUGGAACACCAGUGGCGAAGGCGGCCAUCUGGUCCGGAUCUGACGCUGAGGCGCGAAAGCGUGGGGAGCAAACAGGAUUAGAUACCCUGGUAGUCCACGCCGUAAACGAUGUGCGCUAGACGUCGGGAGUUAGGCUCUCGGUGUCGCAGCUAACGCAUUAAGCGCACCGCCUGGGGAGUACGGCCGCAAGGUUAAAACUCAAAGGAAUUGACGG
rnacentral:rRNA from 1 species